GAUGAACGCUGGCGGCGUGCUUAACACAUGCAAGUCGAGCGAUGAAGCCCAGCUUGCUGGGUGGAUUAGUGGCGAACGGGUGAGUAACACGUGAGUAACCUGCCCUUAACUCUGGGAUAAGCCUGGGAAACUGGGUCUAAUACCGGAUAGGAGCGCCUACCGCAUGGUGGGUGUUGGAAAGAUUUAUCGGUUUUGGAUGGACUCGCGGCCUAUCAGCUUGUUGGUGAGGUAAUGGCUCACCAAGGCGACGACGGGUAGCCGGCCUGAGAGGGUGACCGGCCACACUGGGACUGAGACACGGCCCAGACUCCUACGGGAGGCAGCAGUGGGGAAUAUUGCACAAUGGGCGAAAGCCUGAUGCAGCGACGCCGCGUGAGGGAUGACGGCCUUCGGGUUGUAAACCUCUUUCAGUAGGGAAGAAGCGAAAGUGACGGUACCUGCAGAAGAAGCACCGGCUAACUACGUG
rnacentral:rRNA from 1 species